UCUCCGUAGGUGAACCUGCGGAGGGAUCAUUACUGAGUGAGGGUUUAACCGCCCGACCUCCAACCCUUUGUGAAUCGUACUCGUUGCUUCGGGGGCGACCCUGCCGUUCGCGGCGUGGGGCCCCCGGAGGUCUUCUAAACACUGCAUCUUUGCGUCGGAGUUUAAACAAAUUAAACAAAACUUUCAACAACGGAUCUCUUGGUUCUGGCAUCGAUGAAGAACGCAGC
rnacentral:misc_RNA from 1 species